AACGCGAAGAACCUUACCAGCUCUUGACAUGUCCAGUAUGGGUUCGAGAGAUCGAACUCUUCAGUUCGGCUGGCUGGAACACAGGUGCUGCAUGGCUGUCGUCAGCUCGUGUCGUGAGAUGUUGGGUUAAGUCCCGCAACGAGCGCAACCCUCACCCUUAGUUGCCAUCAGGUUAAGCUGGGCACUCUAAGGGAACUGCCGGUGACAAGCCGGAGGAAGGCGGGGAUGACGUCAAGUCCUCAUGGCCUUUAUGGGCUGGGCUACACACGUGCUACAAUGGCGGUGACAAUGGGACGCGAAGGGGCAACCCUUGGCCAAUCUCAAAAAGCCGUCUCAGUUCGGAUUGUCCUCUGCAACUCGAGGGCAUGAAGCUGGAAUCGCUAGUAAUCGCGGAUCAGCACGCCGCGGUGAAUACGUUCCCGGGCCUUGGUACACACCGGAGUA
rnacentral:rRNA from 1 species